UACGGGGGGGGGCAAGCGUUGUUCGGAAUUACUGGGCGUAAAGCGAGUGUAGGCGGUUUGGAAAGUCGGAUGUGAAAGCCCCGGGCUCAACCCGGGGAAGUGCACUCGAUACUCCCAAGCUAGAGUAUGGGAGAGGUUGGUGGAAUUCUCGGUGUAGAGGUGAAAUUCGUAGAUAUCGGGAGGAACACCGGUGGCGAAGGCGGUUCUCUGGGCAUGUCCUGACGCUGAGGAGCGAAAGUGUGGGGGAGCGAACAGG
rnacentral:rRNA from 1 species